UCAAGGUAGGGACCCAAAUGAUGAGUGCAACACAUCGUCUCAAUAUGAUGAUCAUUUCUGUGAAAUAAUUGUAAAAUCCGACUUCAAAUAAACAAGUUAUAGGCCAUUCAUGAUAUAUAUGAUACAAAUUCGGGACAUACGGACAGACGGACGGACGACCCGGCGACUAUAUGCUCCUCCGGAAUUUUUCGGGGAACAUAAUAAUCUAGUAAAAUUAACUAGAAUUUCACUAAAUGUGAUUAAUACCCCCGCAAGACUGCUUAGGAAAUGAGGAAGUUACUAGUAACAGAACAUGUACAGUGAAUUGGAGAAGUACAUGUAUUAACUAUAUUAACUGUUAUUGAUAGCAAUGUUAAUAUUCUGUUAUGUUUUCUAUUUCAGGCCAAAAUUCUAAUCUGGUAUUCCACAUAAAACAUGAGCAUAAAGAGCUGAUCCCACAAGCAGAUGAACCUGUAAGAGACAAACAUAACAUGUUGCAGCCUAAAAUACUAACAGCUGUAACUAGACAAUAUUUGCCUCAUCUUGUUUAAAUGACCUCCUUCUCAGAUUGAUUGUGAAAAAUGAUCUCUCACUGUGCAAAUCAGUAGCUCUUACCCAUGAUGGAUGGACUAGCAACUCAACACAGAAUUCCCAGCAAACACAUGACGUUAAAAUAACGUUAGAUUUUGGUCACGACUAGGGCUGUAACGGUUUACCGGUACACCGAUAUAUUGCGGUGCAGGAUAAAUAAAUAUUGUACCGCGGUUCACAUUUAGUUGUACUGGUUUUUUUUAGUAAUAACAGUGUACAAUAAUUUUCUCUAUAAAUAAAAGAAAGUCUUCCAUAAUUUUCUUGAUAAAUAAAUGAUAUGAAAAUGUCCUAUGCACAAAAGAAAAUAACAAACCGAAAGUAGGAAGCGUGUAAAAAAAAUGGUGUUAGGGUAAAAAAAUUACACGGUGCGCGGGUAGACAAAUGCUUGAAAAAUCGGUGAUUUACUAUGGCAGACGGAAAUAAUUACGAUCUGAUAAAAAAAUAAAUUACAAGGAAAAGAGAGACCCAUGAAAUUAUUGAAUACUAGAUGCUGACAAAGUAGACAUGUUAAUAAUUUUUCUAAAGAAAAACAUGGAUUAAUUGCCACCGUCACUCAAAAUCUGGAAACAAAGUGAUCCCUCAGAAGCAUUAAUCACAACAAGAUAACAAGAGAAUUGCAGACUCGGUUUGAUUGAGUCUGUACAUGAGGGAUAAUGAAUAUGUGCAACAUCCCUCACGCCCCCUAGCACCGGCUUGAGCGGUACUCAAUUCUCAACACUUAAUAGUGCUGGCAUCAAUGAUCCCGAAGGACCAGAAAAAUAUAACAACACUGAAGUGAAGUACGGGGCAACUUUUUACAGCUGCCACACAGCACUUGACACCUGCUGUUGUGAAGUAUAAAAAUCUGGAAACAAAGUGAUCCCUCAGAAGCAUUAAUCACAACAAGAUAACAAGAGAAUUGCAGACUCGGUUUGAUUAAGUCUGUGAUCUAGUCCUAGUCUGAAACUGUGUUAAGAAAAUCAUUAGGAUAUAGUUUAGAUUGUUAGUUACUGAAUGAAAAGUGUUUAAAGUUUUAUUUUGCUGUUACUCAUAGUUGAUGCUUCAAUAGUUGAAACAGUUUAAUUUUUUGUUAAAGGAAAGUAUCCACUAAUUCUGUUUUGUGAGAGAUAUAGAUAUAUAUAAUAUUUGUUGAAAUUAUAAACAAGUCUCUUUUUCUGAAUUAUUUCCCAGUACCCAAGAUAAAAAAACAAUACGUAUCGCAAUAUAUUGCAAUACGGAUGUUGCGUAUUGCAAUAUAUUGCAAUACGCUUUUUACCGUAUUGUUACAGCCCUAGUCAUGACGUCGGUGACCAAAAUACAACGUAAGUCUGACGUUAAAAAACCGAUGUCUAAUAGACGGUUUUUUUUGACGUCGUACUAACGUCAGGUUCUGGUCGGUGUCCUGACGGUAGGUAAAAAAAUAACAAAAAAAUAAUCCUUUUUCGCUGUUGUAAUCAUUUAAACUUUUUUUCAAACGUUAUUUGGCUUACAAAUGAAGUGUAUAUAAUUAUAUACAGACCAAGAACGCAGCGCUGCAUCCUAAUAAAACAUAUAGGUGGAGCUCUAUAUAGACAAGUUACAUGUGUUAUUGUUAUGAAAUCUAUUUAUAGCCAUAGAUCUGUUUACGAGUUCCAAUCAUUUAACGUUAUAAUAUUAUCAUUUGUGGUACAUUAUAUGUAUCAAAAUCACGAGUUUUUUUAUAGUGCUUUAACAUUUAAUCAUAGUGACAGAAAAGGGAAAGAAAACAUAAUUACCUAUAAUUCGAAUCUACAGCCACGUGGAUGGAAAUUUAAAUUCGUAGGCGUUAUGUUUUGGCUGUCGGUCAGGAAUCUGGAUGCAUUGAUAAAGUGAAUAUUCUAGAAUUUCUUGAACAAAAAGGUCAGUUCAAUUUAUCUAAAUUUAUUUCUACUUUGAUAAAUAAUUGCAUGAUUGCAAACAUUCUUAAAUUUAAUUUUCAUUAUUUGAACAGUUGAAGCAAAAUGUCACACAAUUUCGCGAUAAUGCCUGAUAAUAAAUCUUUUCAAAUUUGACUCUGCUUGUGAAGAGUUUAUAAUGUGCCUUUCAGUACUACCAAAGAGAAUGCUUAGUUUUCAUAUUUUUCUUAAACUGUGAUGUUUUGUCAGUUAAAAUCGGAGAAUUGAGAAUGAAUUUGUACGAUUACGAGCAUUUCGGACGUCCCAAAUAACCCAAGACGUUUUCGUCCCAGACAUUUCGGCAUUUUCCCAAUUGGCCCAAUUUUUGAUCAGAAUAAAUCGUACCUUAAUGUGUUUACACCAGAUUUUUUUAAUAUCAUUCUAAUAAAUGAACGGGAAAUAAAUGAAAAAGCGGAUUUAUUAAUUUUAUUAUCUAAUUAUGAUUUUGUAAUAGGCCUAUACUGCAGUAGAAUGACGCUUCAUUUAAUCAUUUAUUAGUAGGAAAAAUGUAAUCAAAACAGAAUAUAAACUUUUUAUCAAAACUUAGUUCAUAAACAUACAUUUAUUAUCAACAAUUUCUUAACAAUCUUUAAUUUGAAACUAUGAAAAAUUUAAGACUUGCGUAACUGUUCAUUUCAAAAGUAGAAUAUACAUAAGUUAGAAUAUAAUUUUCUUUUCAGGUAGUUCAAGUGUUGGACAUGCUCUCAAAGGUCAGAGGGACAGAAACACGUGAUAAUGUAAAAAGAAACAUGGGAAAUGAAAAUGAUAUCACAAACGCUAUUGGACAUUAACAUAUCCUCCGGACAGACGAGGGGUGGUAAGAGAAGGUCAUAUCUAAAAGCAUCACAUCUCCAAAUUUGUGCUAAUUCUCAUGGAUAUUUAAAAGUGUAACUUUGUGAAGUAAAUAAAAGGAAGUAAUUUAUAUCUUAGUGACAAUUAUUAAAAGGAGGUCAAAAUAUGCAAAAUGGCAGUAAAUGUUUAAGUAAUGCUGUAGAAAUAAAUUUAAAAUACCGAAAAUCUGUCAUUAAUUGCUUGAAACAUUAUUAUCCGAAUCUUUUAACUUUUCUUAAAAUUAUAAUAUUUUCAUUAUUUUGUUUGAUAAGGCAAACUUUGAUAGAAAUGUACAUACAUUGCUUUGUUCUUUAAUAUUUGUACAUGUUUCUUAGUUUCAUUUAUGUCAUUGUUUUUGUAAUACUUUUUGUUUUGUUAUUAACUUAUUUUAUGUUUUUAUUUUGUUUAAUUUUUGAAAAGUAUUUAGCCUUGCAGAAUUUACUAAAAUUGUAUGUAUCAGCUUAAAAUUGGAACUUUUAUUUUAAAUAAAAAAAACCCCAUAAAAACAUAUUUUUGCUUUUAUUUUUUGUUAUACAUUUCAUUGGAGUGAAAGUUACUUAAUAGAAUGAGUUACAUUAAAUUCAAUCAAAUCAGGAUUAGCCAGAAAAUAUUUAUAACGUGGUAAAACAAGAAGGAUUAGGGGAAUGAUCAGAUUAAGGUCAGAAAAUGGUCAGAUUUAGGGCAGAAAAGGGUUAAGAUUUAGGUCGGAAAAUGGUCAGAUUGAGGUCGGAAAAUGGUUAGAAACUGGUUAGGUUUAAGGUCAGAAAAUAGUCAGAUUAAAGUCGGAAAAUGGUCAGAUUGAGGUCGGAAAAUGGUUAGAUAAUGGUCAGAUUUUGGUCAGAAAAAGGUUAGAUAAUGGUUAGAUUCUGACGUCUACCUGACAUCAGAUAAUAUUACGUCAAAAAAACUUUCAAAUCCAACCGUUUUUCCGACCGUCAUCCGACGUCAGAACCUGACUUAAGGUAUUAGCAUCCUAAUGCAUUACCUCCGCUUUGAAGAGUAUUCAAAUAGGCUAGAACUACUGUUAACUACAUUGAAAAUGAGGGCCAUGGGUUCAAUCCCCAAAAGGGUCAACUUUUUUUUCUUUCUCUUUUUCUUUUAACAUUAUUUAUGUAUCUCUCACGUCCCAUUUGGAAAGAAAAAAGUGUUUAAUUUUGAUUUUUUAAUUUAUAUAGGUAUUUAUUGGCUAAAUUAUGCUAAAUCUAGUAAUAAAUAUGGUACCUGAUAUUUUCAAAGUGUAAUAUAAUCAAAACUAGACGGUAAAAGUAUUUCAUAUUUUACAAGAUCAACCAAUAUACCUUUUUAAAAAUUUAGGGAAACUUUGAAAACAGGCACUCAUUUGGGCAAAUUUUAAGAAUUUUUUUAAUUAGGCUCCCUAAGUAGAAAAUGGUCAGACACGUGGUAAAAAUGGGUGGGGUAGGGUAACAUUUUUAUACAGAUUUCAUAAAUUUUAAGUAGAAACCAUAAUUUUGCUUAUGUGGAUUGUUAGCUGAAUGGUACUUUUUGUUUCUUACCAAAAAUUAAUGGGAAAACAUUUUUCAUUAGAAUGUUAUUGCAGAUUAUUUUAAAGGUUCCGCAUUUUUAAAAAAGGGCCCUCAUAACAUCCUAGCUUGAGUUCAGAAAAGUGGCCAUAACUUGAUUUCCGUAGGUAAACUUUGUUUAAAUUUUGCAUACAGGUGUACUUUAAGGUAUACAUCUGACCUAUGAUGUCAAUUUUUUAGCUUCUGAUAGUGCCCAUUAGGGUCCUAAUACCUUAAAUCUGACGUCAGUAUGAUGUCUUGUGUUUGCUGGGUUAUGACACUGGGACAUGCCACAUGAUCCAAACAGACUGGGAGUUAAAACAUGCUGUUCUUGGAACUGUUAAAGCAGGUUCUUAAUCAAUAACAUCUCUUUUACAAACACAUCACUUUUAGAAUAAGUAAAAAUAUUUUACUCAUCAUGCUCAUUAUCAAAAAAUAAACAUGCUGGAUAUAAUUUAUUUAUAUUUGCGAAAAAAUUUCCAUUCUUACAUGUCUGGUUUACACAUGUGUCUGAAACUUUGAUUUAGAAACAUCUGUCCUGCCAUUUUUAGCUGCAGAUGUUACUAAACACUGUAUCAUGUAUCAUGUAAAAAAAUAACUCAGUAUUAACUUUUGUUGUAUUGCAGGUAGAAGGAAUGCAUACAGGGGAAAACAUCACAGCAAAUAUUUAGUCAACUCUAGAUGAAUGGAACUUAGGUCGCCCUUCAGCCAUGACAACCGACAAUGUUGCCAAUGAACAGAAAGCUUACAGUCUGUCUGUUGGGUUUUAUGCGCUUUGGAUGCUUUGGUCAUAGGAUCAAUCUUGUUGUUAAAAAAGCAAUAAAUUCCAGAAAUGGAAUUUGACAAAAUUUGACAAAAGGAAGGACUCUUGUUUCUUUUUUCAACAAGAGCCAUGUCAACAUGGCCAUCCCCCGCCGAAUGUGUUUGCUCAUUGGAAGAAUGUAUAUGUAGUAGAGCGGAAUAAUUCUAUUUUAAGAGGUCUUUUGGUAAUGAAAACUGAUGGCUAUAGUGAUUACAGAUUUGAAACCUAUGUGAAUACUGAUGGCUGAAAAUAACAAAGGGCAAUUACUGAAAAAUAAUGCAGGGUAGGUUAUCAUUAUUGUGUGCUGCAUCCCUCCUCAGUAAAAUCUAUCCACCUAUGAAGUUUCAAGUUGAUACCUCAAAUACU